rnacentral:lncRNA from 13 species
CUCCACAGACAUGUUGAAUAGCUUGUCCUCUGGGUGCUCAAUAUUCCCACUGCGGAAGAAAAACCACUCCAGUGGCAAGGGCUGGAAGAAGCGGAAGCGGAAGAGGAAGAAUUCCCCCGCAGUGGGGGUAAAGGCCCAGAAGUCCUCGCGCAGAGUGCACUAUAUGACUUUCUACCCUCUGGCUGAUGCCUCUCCUUGGCUAGAGCCUACCAGAAGCCACAGGACAACUGAACCCGCAGAAUUAUGUUCACGUGGAUGACACGCCAGGGGAGCAGGAAAGUAAAAGGAGGCUAGAGUUCAACAGUGUGAUUUUGGCUCACUGCAACCUCUGCCUCCCAGAUUCAAGCGAUUUUCCUGCCUCGGCCUCCUGAGUAGCUGGGACUACAGGUGAGUGCCACCAAGCCUGACUAAUUUUUGUUAGUUGAGAUGGGGUUUCGCCAUAUUGGUCAGGCUGUUGUCAAACUCCUGAUCUUGUGAUUGGCCUG